rnacentral:piRNA from 1 species
UGAGAAGGGUAUGUUGGG